rnacentral:rRNA from 1 species
AGUGAACGCUGGCGGUAGGCCUAACACAUGCAAGUCGAACGGCAGCACAGUAAGAGCUUGCUCUUACGGGUGGCGAGUGGCGGACGGGUGAGGAAUACAUCGGAAUCUACUUUUUCGUGGGGGAUAACGUAGGGAAACUUACGCUAAUACCGCAUACGACCUACGGGUGAAAGCAGGGGAUCUUCGGACCUUGCGCGAUUGAAUGAGCCGAUGUCGGAUUAGCUAGUUGGCGGGGUAAAGGCCCACCAAGGCGACGAUCCGUAGCUGGUCUGAGAGGAUGAUCCGGCACACUGGACAUGAGACACGGUCCAGACUCCUACUGGAGGCAGCAGUGGGGAAUAUUGGACAAUGGGCGCAAGCCUGAUCCAGCCAUACCGCGUGGGUGAAGAAGGCCUUCGGGUUGUAAAGCCCUUUUGUUGGGAAAGAAAAGCAGCAGGUUAAUACCCCGCUGUUCUGACGGUACCCAAAGAAUAAGCACCGGCUAACUUCGUG